UGAGGAAUAUUGGUCAAUGGCCGAGAGGCUGAACCAGCCAAGUCGCGUGAGGGAAGAAUGUCCUAUGGAUUGUAAACCUCUUUUGUCAGGGAGCAAAGUCACCCACGUGUGGGUGUUGGAGAGUACCUGAAGAAAAAGCAUCGGCUAACUCCGUGCCAGCAGCCGCGGUAAUACGGAGGAUGCGAGCGUUAUCCGGAUUUAUUGGGUUUAAAGGGUGCGUAGGCGGGUUAUCAAGUCAGCGGUAAAAUCGUGGAGCUCAACUCCAUCCAGCCGUUGAAACUGAUGAUCUUGAGUGGGCGAGAAGUAUGCGGAAUGCGUGGUGUAGCGGUGAAAUGCAUAGAUAUCACGCAGAACUCCGAUUGCGAAGGCAGCAUACCGGCGCCCGACUGACGCUGAAGCACGAAAGCGUGGGUAUCGAACA
rnacentral:rRNA from 1 species